GAUGGUUGACUCCGGUUAUC
rnacentral:miRNA from 1 species